UUAAUAAAUUACUUAAUUAGUUUAAUAAUUUUUAAGCAGGAUAAUAGUAAUAAAAAACCUAGGCUACUCUAAUCCUAACCAAACAUUAUAUUCUCAUUCCUCGAGAGCAUAGCUGUUAGCCCCUUCUUCUUCCCUCAAGAGCACCAACAACCAUUAGCUAACAACUUCUGUUUUAUGCCGCAUUGGUGCCACCGCCAGCAACUUCAGGCCUCAUCGGUGCCACUGACAACGGCAUAACCCAUUGAGUGCCACUAGCAAGUCGAUCCCAUUGAGCGCCACCAGCAACUUUAGGCCUCAUCCUUCAUCGCCUCUCCAUCAGCUCAAAGUUCUUUUUUCGCACGUCGACUCUUAGGCUUCUGGUGGAAAGGGACAGGAAGCAAAAUUUAUAAUGCUUUCUAAAAAUUGUUGAGGACUAAAAUCGCAUGCUAGUUGAAAUAUGUGAAGAACUACAAGUAACAUGCUUCUUUAUUAGUGCCGCUAUCAUAUGAUAUUCAUUUAGGUCAUGGGUCCUUUAACGCUUCAUAUGGGAUAGGAUAAGACUCAUUUGUAGCCUGACUUUAUCUAUAUUUUGAAUUUGUUAUUAAAUUGUAUUAAACUGUUUUACUUUUGAAAUUCUUGAACUUUUUCACAUUGUUUGAAUUUAUUAUACAUUUC